UACGUAGGGUGCAAGCGUUACUCGGAAUUACUGGGCGUAAAGCGUGCGGAGGCGGUUGUGCAAGACAGAUGUGAAAUCCCCGGGCUUAACCUGGGAAUUGCAUUUGUGACUGCACGGCUAGAGUGUGUCAGAGGGGGGUAGAAUUCCACGUGUAGCAGUGAAAUGCGUAGAUAUGUGGAGGAAUACCGAUGGCGAAGGCAGCCCCCUGGGAUAACACUGACGCUCAUGCACGAAAGCGUGGGGAGCAAACAGG
rnacentral:rRNA from 1 species